GCGUAAAGUAAUUUGAUAUUUUUUUGGAUUUUUUCUUUGGUAGUAGAAAAUUUUUUGUAUGUUACAGGUCUGAUGAUGCUCUUAGGAGCGAAACACGUGUCACCACUCUAACAAAUUAAAGAAUUUUUUGCGACCGAGACUUUGUGUUGUUCUCCUUUGAUUUAUAAAUUUUAAAAAUUAAUGGACCGAGAUGAGAAUCCAUUGGUAUUCCAGAAAGUACCUUGAUCAUCAACAAAUGAGAACUUUGAAGUCGCACAUUUGUAUUCUACCAGUCAAGUAUAACUUCAACUGCAAUUAAAGCCGAUCAUGUAUACCAAUAUCCUUCAACUUAUUAAUUAAGAUUGCAUGAUAAACUCGAUCAAAUGCCUUGGAGAAAUCUAUAUACAGAGCAUAUACAUGACAACCUUCUUUCAAUGAUUUUAGUAGGAAAUCCGUUAAGAAGAUCCCGAACGUUACCGAGAAGUGAGAUGCGGUAGGAAGUCAAAAAAGGCACUUUUGACCUUCAAAUCGGUCUAAAUGUCACUUAAAGAUCCAGGAAUCAUAGACGAUGGCCAUGAAAUAACGUCUCCUAUCUGUAAUUGAUCCGGUCACGGCCAAAAAAUAUUUUUUGAUCCAGAAUGUUACUAUAAGGAUGUUACUAAAAAGUGAGAUGCGGUAGAACGUCAAAAAUGACCCCUUCAAAUCGGUAUAAAUGUUACUCAGAAAUCCAGAAAUCAUGGACGAUCGCCAUGAAAUAAUGUAUUCCGUCUUUAAUUGAACUGGUCACGUCCAAAAAAUUAAUUUUCCAGAAGAUCCAGAAUGUAAC